ACAUCCAGAGAACUUAGCAGAGAUGCUUUGGUGCCUUCGGGAACUCUGAGACAGGUGCUGCAUGGCUGUCGUCAGCUCGUGUUGUGAAAUGUUGGGUUAAGUCCCGNAACGAGCACAACCCUUAUCCUUUGUUGCCAGCGGUUCGGCCGGGAACUCAAAGGAGACUGCCGGUGAUAAACCGGAGGAAGGUGGGGAUGACGUCAAGUCAUCAUGGCCCUUACGGCCAGGGCUACACACGUGCUACAAUGGCGCAUACAAAGAGAAGCGACCUCGCGAGAGCAAGCGGACCUCAUAAAGUGCGUCGUAGUCCGGAUUGGAGUCUGCAACUCGACUCCAUGAAGUCGGAAUCGCUAGUAAUCGUAGAUCAGAAUGCUACGGUGAAUACGUUCCCGGGCCUUGUACACACCGCCCGUCACACCAUGGGAGUGGGUUGCAAAAGAAGUAGGUAGCUUAACCUUCGGGAGGGCGCUUACCACUUUGUGAUUCAUGACUGGGGUGAAGUCGUAACAAGGUAAGCGUAGCGAG
rnacentral:rRNA from 1 species